rnacentral:lncRNA from 1 species
UGGGAGUCGCAGUUCGUCCGGGGCAACUUCUGCCUCUCAGGCUGGUUGCAGCCGGCGCCCCGGGCCAGCGCAGCCUGGGCCCCAGCCAUCCUGCCCCCUCUCCGGCCGGGAGAAGCGGGCGCUGGGCUCUGGGGCUCCCUGAGCCCGCGGAGGCCAGCGCCCAGGGCGCACAAGAAGAGCAGGGGUGGAAGAAGAAAGGAAUUUCAAGGAGGGCAUUGCUUAAAGGGACGUUUGGACAGAGCCAGUUUCGGUGCUGGGCCGCAGCUCAGUGCCUAAUUUUAAUCUCAGGACUGCAGCCUGCGACCCGUGGACGGUCUCCUCAAACUUCUUCCCUCACACCCGAGUCUCUUCCUCCCUAGGAGUCUCCUGGUGCAUGGAACUGACCUGAAACUGGGGUUCCCCAAAGCCUCUGCCUGCCUUCUGCAGCUGAGCUGCUUCAGCCUCUGUGGGACACCCAUUUGAAGGAACCUGUCCAAAUCCAUGUAAGAGAUCUUGUAUUUUUUCCCUCCCAGCUGAGACUUCCUCCUCUGCCAGACACCUGUUCCAAGGAAGCUCCUGCAACUAGGGUGUGGGCUUGUGUCGUGAAGGUUGAGUAUCCAGGGUGACAGUGAAGAAUCCAUACUCCCACCCAAGAGUGGAUUUCAGUGCUGAGAGGAAGAGGAGGAAGACAUCUUGCUGGCUUGUGCCCCAGGUCUGCCUCUGGAGAAACAGGGCAAGCUGGCCCAUGGAACAUGUCACACUCUUGCAACCGGGGCACCUGAUCAGGCUGGAUGUGCCCAUCAGAUGCUGAAGGCACAGCUGCGUCCCUGCCCUGAGGUGAGUCCAUUUGGCCAGAGCAGGAGCGGUGCCCUGUCUCCAACCCAAAUCCAUAAGCAUGUUCUGAGUGUUCCAACUCUUUCUUCAACUCCAUCCCUGAGCCCGGAGUCUCAGCCAGGCGUCUGCCAGGGGCUCUGCCUGGGCUGGGGUUCAGCCUGGUGACCUUCAGUCUAACACCACCUCUCAGCCCUUCCUCCUGUUUCUCAGGAGCCCUAGAAGCUACCCUGGCCUGGGGCCCGGGAAGCUCCAUUUUGUUUCUCCUCAGCUGGGGAGCUGAACGAAUGCCCUCGACACUGGGGUCUUUCUCUCUCAGUCCCCCAGAGCCCUCACCCCAACUUACCCCGCCUCAGUACAUAAAAACCUCUGCAUCUCCACCAUGGGGUACCGAGAGCCUUUAACUCAGUCCCAGCUGCCUUCCCGCCCAGGCCCUUCCCUUAGUUCUGCUCCUUAAAACCACGAUUGCAGACAGGACAUAGAGGUUCAGGUGGAAGGGGAACAAAGACAUUUGGGGAGAACUCCUGAAAGAUAAAGCCCAGGGAAUCCUGUCUGGCCCCCCAAAUAGCACCACUUUUACAAGCUCCAUUCACAACCACUGGCCCCUUUGGACACGUGAUGACUUUACAGAGGCUGCAGGCUUGGUAGUUUCAAGGCCAAGAUUCAAGACAGAUAUUGUGGGUCCAGUGUCCUUGCCCCUUGAGAAACAAAGAGCAAACCAACCCCAGAGAACACGUCCACCUCUCUGGCCCCUGGGCAACCAGAGCCGGAUGGAACCACCCAUCAGAGGCAGAAGACACACAUCUUUCUGCCCCCUGAGGUCAGUUGAUUUGUGCCAGAGAGUCAGUGGUGCCCUGUGAGCCAUCUUAACACAUCCUAGGGCUCCCACUAACCCGUCUUUGCACCAGCAUCCAGGGGGCUUCAGAUGGGCUUUGUCUGUGCUCUGGCCCCUCCCGGAGGCCGUCUCCUCUAACAAACACUGACUCUCAGCCUUUCCUCCGGUUUCCCUCAGCGGCCCCCCAGGGCUCUCCUGGCCUUGGGCAGCUGCAGGCUUGAAGGAAUUCCUCCUCACCUUCUAAGCCAAGUGAAGUGCCCAGAGAGAGGGGCAAUUCUCUCAAAGACUCCCAGCACACACCCCAACCGACCCCAACGUAAGGCCUUAAACCCUCUGUUUUCUCCACCCACAUGUGCCAUGAGAG